rnacentral:rRNA from 1 species
CCUACGGGGGGCAGCAGUGGGGAAUAUUGCACAAUGGACGAAAGCCUGAUGCAGCAACGCCGCGUGAGCGAUGAAGGCCUUCGGGUCGUAAAGCUCUGUCCUCAAGGAAGAUAAUGACGGUACGUGAGGAGGAAGCCCCGGCUAACUACGUGCCAGCAGCCGCGGUAAUACGUAGGGGGCUAGCGUUAUCCGGAAUGACUGGGCGAAAAGGGUGCGUAGUUGGUUUCUUAAGUCAGUGGUGAAAGGCUACGGCUCAACCGUAGGAAGCCUUUGAAACUGGGGAACUUGAGUGCAGGAGAGGAGAGUGGAAUUCCUAGUGUAGCGGUGAAAUGCGUAGAUAUUAGGAGGAACACCAGUGGCGAAGGCGGCUCUCUGGACUGCAACUGACGUUGAGGCCCGAAAGCGUGGGGAGCAAACAGGAUUAGAUACCCCAGUAGUC